GGGUGUGGGCCCCACAAGCCAGCCUCGCCCAUUCAGGCACUUCUGCCUCAGGACAGAGACUUGGCUGAGAGAGCCUCUCCGCGAAGGGCUGCCUCCCGGGGCUCCGGGACAUGGGGCGACCUAGAACUCCCUGGCUGUCUCCGUAGUCUCACCCAGGACGUCGGUGGAGCAGCGCGACCCCGUCCGAGUCCUCCGGGCUCUGCUCUCCCUUUGUCUGCUCUGUUCUCUCAAGGAGUGUCCACGCCGCCGCCCCGUGACCGUGAUCACCGUCGCGCUGCGCAGGGAGGCCGAAGCCCCAGGUCGGCUGCGCCGCCUGGAAGUACCUACGGGAUGAAGCAGCCGCGACCCGAGCUGUCUUCCGAAGGGCCCGCUGCGGCACCGCGCCUGUCCUCGGAGCCCGGCCCCGCCGGCCGCGAUUCUGUUCCAGCAACGCCGGGAGCUGGAGCCCUGCGCGGGGAUCCAAAGCAGAUCCGGCCCCUCUCCUGUUUUCUGUCCUUUCUGUCCCGGGCGCAGCUCCCACCCCAGGGCUUUGCCAUUUACCAGCACCGUGGAAACUGGGCUCUUCCCGUGGCUCAGGGCUGCCUUUCCUGACCCUUUGUGCCCCACUCGGCUCUUCCUCAAGGAGGAUGGUGUGUCUCCGGGGCCUGGUCGGCCCCCCAGGCUCCAGCCCCGACCCAGUCCCCAGGGCACAGCAGCAGAGCUGAAUAAAGGCGGUGCCGUGCUGAUUGCUGCACUGUUCUGUGCGCUGAUUCCUGCCUGGGUUCCGUGUCGUCCUCCCACCCAGCCAGGGGCAGUCGCGGGUGCGGGAGGGAGCUGGAGGCCAGGAGGCUGCUGAAGGGGCUGCACGGCCUCCCCUCCCCUCCCAAGCUCAUGGGCAGCUUAGGUGGGGACCUGGCAUCUGUGGGGUAAUGGACACUUGGCGGACUGUAAGAGGCCAGGCAGGAGCUAAAGGGACAGAUUGAUCCACCAGCACGUGAGGUCCUUCCGACCUGGGUCGGAGAGGUAAACCGUGGUUCGUAGUGAGGUCCUGGAGUUUUAUGAGUUUGUAUUUUUAUAACUAUUCUUCUGGUCUCUGAAUGAGGGUGAAGGGAGGCUAAGGAACUGCCUGCCGGCGGGAGGGUGGAGGUGUCCCGGUCAGUGUGAAGAAAGGGCUGGUGUCGCAGUACACCUGCAGGGUUGGUGACUUACCUGCACCUCGCUCUGAGCAGGGAAAGUUGGAGCAGAACACAAAACAUCCACUUCCCAGCCUCGGAGUGGCCUAGUGGCCCCUCCCGCCUUUCCUCUUCCCGCUUUCCCUCCCGGUCAUGGACACCAGAGCUGCGGUGGAGAGAGCAAGGACAUCCUAAGACGGCUCAGCUGGGUCCCUGGUCGCCUGUGCUUUCUGCCCAUGAUGGCCGAGGAGGAGUCUGGGGGUGUCUUCUCCGAGGGCUCUGGGGUCUUGAGCAGGAAUGACGAGCCCAUGCAGACCUGGAGCCACCGUCUCUGAGCUCUGAGCUCCUCAGGGCACAGGGCAUGAGCCCUUCUGUGUUCUCUCCCGGGAGGAGUCUUGAGUCCCGCCUGAAAAGUAGGAAAUCACCUGUGAUCAGAACAGUGCCACCCAGUAGGGAUGCUGGCAAGCAGAGGAGGGCGUAUUUGGAGACUUCUUUUUUUUUUUUUUUGGUACCGGGGAUCAAACUCGGGUGCUUGUGCUUGUGCUUGCGCAGCAGGAGUCGAAACCACUGAGCUAAAUCCCCAGCCCUGACUUCUGAUCUUUUGCAGCCCUGAGAGGCCGGGCCCAAUACACAUAAUGACCAUCAGUGUCCUGCAAUUGGUAACAGUAGGCAGGGGAGAGGAAAUCUUCGAGGCAGACAGGACAGUGACCCUGUCCUGGACAUGGCUGAGACUCCGUGGGGGGCCCUACUUGCCUCCUGGCUUUGCUAGGUAGAGGUCCACAAGGACAAUCCAGGUGGAGCCCGGCCCCUGUACCUGUCACCUCCCCCUCCUCUAGACCUGGAUGGCGGGGGACUGGACCCCUGCCCUGGGCCCAGACAGCUGUGUCCCCCACCAGGCUCUUCUGACCUCCCCUCCCCUCCCCUUAUCU
rnacentral:lncRNA from 1 species